GCCCGGAUGGUGGAAUCGGUAGACACAAGGGAUUUAAAAUCCCUCGGCGUUCGCGCUGUGCGGGUUCAAGUCCCGCUCCGGGCACCA
rnacentral:tRNA from 14 species